rnacentral:rRNA from 1 species
UACGUAGGGUGCGAGCGUUGUCCGGAAUUAUUGGGCGUAAAGGGCUCGUAGGCGGUUUGUCGCGUCGGGAGUGAAAACUCAGGGCUUAACCCUGAGCCUGCUUCCGAUACGGGCAGACUAGAGGUAUGCAGGGGAGAACGGAAUUCCUGGUGUAGCGGUGAAAUGCGCAGAUAUCAGGAGGAACACCGGUGGCGAAGGCGGUUCUCUGGGCAUUACCUGACGCCGAGGAGCGAAAGUGUGGGGAGCGAACAGG